AGCUCUGGGACAGGAGCCCCAGCCCCGGCAUUCCCAGGUGUCCCCAUUCAGUGAUCAGCACUGAACACAGACACUCACCAUGGAGUCAGGGCUGCGCUGGGUUUUCCUUGUUGCUCUGCUACAAGGUGUCCAGUGUGAGGUGCAGCUGGUGGAGUCUGGGGGAGGCUUGGUCCAGCCUGGGGGGUCCCUGAGACUCUCCUGUGCAGCCUCCGGAUUCACCUUCAGCAGCUAUGACAUGAACUGGGUCCGCCAGGCUCCAGGGAAGGGGCUGGAGUGGGUCUCAUACAUUAGUAGUAGUGGUGGUAGCACAAGCUACGCAGACGCCGUGAAGGGCCGAUUCACCAUCUCCAGAGACAACGGCAAGAACACGCUGUCUCUGCAAAUGAACAGUCUGAGAGCCGAGGACACGGCCCUGUACUACUGUGCGAGAGACACAGUGAGGGGACAUCAGUGUGAGCCCAGACACAAACCUCCUUCUCUGAGUUAG